CGAGCAGAUCUAGGAUUAGAAGUAUGUCAUAACUUGAAGACAACUCAAAAUUUAUUUUUAGGCUGCGUGAAUCUUUCAAGGUUCUGGAUUUCAGAAACAAACCCCACUGUAGCUCGUGUAAGCAAAAAAAAAAAGAAUUUUAUUAAAGGUUUGAAGUAGUUCUCAGAAUCUCAAUAAGGGCCAGAGAAUCAACCAUAGAUGCUCUGAGACAAGGAGCCACAUGCUCCUGGGGAUGGCUCCAGGGGACACCCCACUGUCGGUAGGUACAGACAGCCCAGCUCUUGCCCCCACUGGUGGACACCAGAAGCUGCUGCUAGAACCUCUGGCCACCGUCUCUGCAAGUUGCCACCUCUCCCUCUCCCUGCCACAACGGAUUCCUUGAGGUACCUCGCUCACUUCCGCAUGGAGGUCUCAGUCAGUUGGGACUGAUUGGCAGAACCUAGACCCUAUAUCCCCAAAUCUAACAUGUCAAGAAAAUUUCUGAAUUCUCGGGAGCACAAACUCUUUGAAAUUAGUACAUUCUCCAAAUAUAAAAUGGGUCCAAAUGUAAUGGAUGUCCAAAAAGUACGACAGAGGUCCCCUUCAGUGAAGUAGUUUAACCUCAGCCUCCCCCAGGCGCCUGGAGAGACGGAGUCACACCUUUCCAGAACUUGCCUCAUAGAUGACCAAGUUUUUGGCAUCCACAUACUACUUCACCAGUGGACAAAAACAGUUGUUAAGAAAAGACAUUUAAUUGCUCCCAUAUUUGGCAGCCCUCUGUCCCAUAUGUCUAAGCAAGAAGGCGUUAUGGUAUCAGGUGUGAUGGAGAGAACAUUCCGGUGCUCUGUUGGAUUCGGCAGGCCUUGAGUUCUGCUCAAAUCUCUCACAGUAAAUUGAUAACUGAUCUGCUUUUUUGCUUUUUAAAGAGCUUCCAAAGUGAAGUAACAGAUUAGCUACAGAUGGACAAGAAUCAGAUUGAUAUUAGACUUCUCGGUGGCAAUACUGGAUAGAAGAGACAACAGAAUGAUAUCUUCAAUGUUCUGAGGAAAAUUUCUUUCUAUGUAGUUUUCUCUUGAGGCAAACUCUCCCUCAGAUGGGAGCAAAUAAAAGCGUUUUUCGACAUGCAUGGGUAUGAAAGUCAACCUUCCACGAGUCCUCUCUGAAAGAGUUACUAAUUUCAAACAUCCCCUUUAUCAAACACCGUUUCAGUUUAUUUUUAGGUAUUUUCUUUUUUGCUAUUGCAAUUUGGGUCUUUAUUUCCAUUACGUUUUCUUUCUUUUUUUAUUGAAGUAUAAUUUACAUAUAUCCAUUAUGUUUCUCACAGGUUGUUGUUUGUCUAGACAAAGGCAGUUGAUUUUUACACACUGAUUUUGUAUCCAGCCAUCUCAUAAGUUCUCAUAUUGUUUGCAAUAGAUUUGUAACUGAGUUUCUUGGGUUUCCCAGGUAUACAGUUAUCUGUAAAUAGAAAUAAAU
rnacentral:lncRNA from 1 species